UACGGGGGGGGCAAGCGUUGUUCGGAAUUACUGGGCGUAAAGGGCUCGUAGGCGGCCAACUAAGUCGAACGUGAAAUCCCUGGGCUCAACCCAGGAACUGCGUCCGAUACUGGUUGGCUUGAAUCCGGAGAGGGACGUGGAAUUCAGGUGUAGCGGUGAAAUGCGUAGAUAUCUGGAGGAACACCGGUGGCGAAGGCGACGUCCUGGACCCGGCAUUG
rnacentral:rRNA from 1 species